rnacentral:rRNA from 1 species
AACGAACGCUGGCGGCGUGCCUAACACAUGCAAGUCGAGCGGGAAAGUUCCCUUCGGGGAGCGAGUACAGCGGCGCACGGGUGAGUAACACGUAGGUAACCUACCCUGGAGACCGGGAUAACCUGCCGAAAGGCGGGCUAAUACCGGAUGAGACCACGAGGGCUGCGGCCCUUGAGGAAAAAGAUGGCCUCUACUUGUAAGCUAUCACUCCGGGAUGGGCCUGCGCGCCAUUAGCUAGUUGGNGAGGUAACGGCCCACC